rnacentral:tRNA from 2 species
GCCGAAGUGGCGGAACAGGCAGACGCGGCGGUCUCAAAAACCGCUGAGGGAUAGCCCUCUUGUGGGUUCGAGUCCCACCUUCGGCA